CCUACGUGCGGCAGCAGUGGGGAAUAUUGGACACUGGGCGAAAGCCUGAUCCAGCCAUGCCGCGUGUGUGAAGAAGGCCUUUUGGUUGUAAAGCACUUUAAGUGGGGAGGAAAAGCUUGUGGUUAAUACCCAUAAGCACUGACGUUACCCACAGAAUAAGCACCGGCUAACUCUGUGCCAGCAGCCGCGGUAAUACAGAGGGUGCAAGCGUUAAUCGGAAUUACUGGGCGUAAAGCGCGCGUAGGUGGUUAUUUAAGUCAGAUGUGAAAGCCCCGGGCUUAACCUGGGAACUGCAUCUGAGACUGGAUAACUAGAGUAGGUGAGAGGGGAGUAAAAUUCCAGGUGUAGCGGUGAAAUGCGUAGAGAUCUGGAGGAAUACCGAUGGCGAAGGCAGCGCCCUGGCAUCAUACUGACACUGAGGUGCGAAAGCGUGGGUAGCAAACAGGAUUAGAUACCCUUGUAGUC
rnacentral:rRNA from 1 species